rnacentral:tRNA from 1 species
GCCUGACUGGCUCAGUUGGUAGAGCAUGUGAUUCUUGAUCUUGGGGAUGUGGGUAUGAGUCCCACGUUGAGUG